GGCAAUGGCCCGAUUAUUGUGGUCCUGCGAGACACCAAUGCGUCAAUUUCCUCGAUGUCAACAUCAGCAACAUUUUUUCCCCCUUUGGAUUCAUACAUACCCAGCCGGGAUAUGCUCCAGCACGCUACGCAAACCGAGUGGGGAUUUGCGGUUUGGAAAAUGGACGGAUGAUGGAGUUAUACCAAUGACACGGUACAUUGGCAAAAUGGCUGAUUUUUUUGGGGGGGAUUUUGUGCCAAAUGUGAACUAUUAGUUGUAAUUGAAACCAGUCAAGAGUUUUAGCUAUUUUUGCUCUGUUUGCUAUUUCAAAGGGGAGAACAACUAUCGACUGAAUACGUUUGAAAUGUUUGCAUGUCGAUUAUUCGGGUCAAUAUUUGAAGCAUUUUGUUUUCACAUGCGUACUCGACUGCAUAAUUCAUGUGUACGCAUUCAAAUUAUUUCUUUGUCUUUUGAGAUCACAUGAAUUGCCCGAUCCUCUUUCACAUCUGAUGCUCGGGUCAGUCAAAGGCUGCAAUCAGCACUUAAUGGAGCAUGUGUCUGCCAACGUGUCCUUCGUAUUUAAACUAGAGCGGGCACAUCCCACCAUAUUUAGUUGAACAGUUGUCCAAAGGCUCACCUGCACAACUCCAACAGAAUGACCGGAACACAGCGUCCCAAUGUACGCCAGUCCCACCGUUGCUCCCUCAAAGUCAAUCCCACUGGAGACAAAUGGAAAAAAAACAAAUACAAACAAACAUCUUUUGAACAGAGGGUAGGUUUUCCCAACCUCAUCCUUUUUAAAAAUAGGAUGGGAUUGUAUUCAUUGGAAUUAGAAUUUUUUAAUAUUUCCCAUGUGAGCUCAAUAAAGCGAGACUGGCUGUCUGUUGUCAUAUAUUAUGUUUGUGAAAAGUAAAAUUUGAGUGUGUGUAGGACA